CCUACGGGUGGCAGCAGUGAGGAAUAUUGGUCAAUGGGCGCGAGCCUGAACCAGCCAAGUAGCGUGAAGGAUGACUGCCCUACGGGUUGUAAACUUCUUUUAUAAAGGAGUAAAGUGAGGCACGUGUGCCUUUUUUUAUGUACUUUAUGAAUAAAGAUCGGCUAACUCCGUGCCAGCAGCCGCGGUAAUAAGGUGGAUGCGAGCGUUAUCCGGAUUUAUUGGGUUUAAAGGGAGCGUAGGUGGGUUGUUAAGUCAGUUGUGAAAGUUUGUGGCUCAACCGUAAAAUUGCAAUUGAUACUGGCAGCCUUGAGUACAGUUGAGGUAGGCGGAAUUCGUGGUGUAGCGGUGAAAUGCUUAGAUAUCACGAAGAACUCCGAUUGCGAAGGCAGCCUACUAAACUGCCACUGACAUUGAUGCGCGAAAGCGUGGGGAGCAAACAGGAUUAGAUACCCUUGUAGUC
rnacentral:rRNA from 1 species